GGUAACGUUAGGUAACAUUCACAGAAACCGAGUUCGAUACAACACCCUAACCGUCAAUUUGCCAAUGGACUGGUGGUCGAGAACACCCCCCGUUUUGUUUCUCUCCAAGCUAACGUUACAUGUUGGCUGGAGCAAGUUAACAUAUUAACAAACAGACUAGCUAAAAUUUGCCAAAACUUUCAACUUGGAAGGCUCUCAAGUUUAAAUACAAAUAACGUGUUGCUAAAGUUAGCUAACUGGUAGCUAAAAUGAUGGUAGCGGUUACUCACUUGGCAGAGACACUUUUCCCUUCACGUUGGACUCCUCCGGGUCCUGGAUGGCUCGUUUUAGAAGUCGGCCCAAACGCUUAGCUCCUGCUUUUCCCAGGCCUUUCCCAGUCGGAGUUUUGGUAGGUCGUCCUAUUUGUUUUAUUACCUUUAGCUGUGUAUUUUCUCUUGCUUUAAUGUUGGUAUUGGCAUUUCCCUUUGCGCCCUUGGCUGUGGCUUUCCUCCGCAUUUUUGCUGUUAGCCUAUUUCAUAUUUUCAGAAAGAAAACCAAACAAAAAAACUCCCCAGCUGAUUGUUGGAAAGUUUGACAGGCACUAGCUAGCUAGCUACAUGACCUGAUUUUCAAAUGAAGCAAACACCUGAAGAUGGCUGCUCACCUGCAAUGCUAUCUGCAGCGCGGAAUACUGCACCCACACCUCCUGCUGCUGUGCCGCUGAGAGAGAAAACGCCCCACCUCGGCCUGCUUUUUCUGUCACAGUGAGGAUAGGAAGGAUGGAAGAGAGGAGGGAUAAACAUUCCCAUGGGAAAGAGGAGCUCAUCACCCAGGAUAAAUGGUUUGACAGACAGACUAAAGAAACGAGAAAAGAUUAAUUACAUGCUUAAAACAUUCAUAUCAACUUUAAGAAUAGAGGCAGACACUUACAUAUCAGCCUCCUCAGUCUGCUCAGUCAAGAGUUGACGGAGUCUCUUUUGCCACAAGGACAGUAGCUGGACGUAGUUGGAGAAGAAGCUAUGUGUGCCAUAGCUGACUGUCACCUGGAAUCAACUGAUUACUGUUAGUUUUUUUCCCCAUUGAGUUGCACAAUAGAUACGUACAAUAAAAAUUGGAUUAGACAAAGUUGUGUUAUGUAAGUUUAGGUGAAAAUAAGGGUAACUGGGAAUGACAUCAAAUAAAGAGGAAAAUAUUGUUGUUACACCUAAUGUGUUAGAGCCAGUAGAGGUCUAUAAUGUACCUUGGAAAAUAGCAGGUCAAGCUCGGCCUCACUCAAGAUCUGUUUUGUAGUCCAAAGUCUUGGAAUUAAAGACUGAACCUGUAGGAAGACAUACCUUUAUUGAUAUCAAAACACCAACAAAAUGCAGUUUAAAGAAGUACAAUAACAUCUCCUGCUUCACUUGUUACCUUUUUCAUCACAAACUGGAGAGACUUCUGAUCUUUCCACUUGAGUUCAUGUAAUUUGGACUUGAAGGAGGAAAAUAUAUUUUGAAUAAUCUCCUCUGCCUGUUGAACAUUAAGAUCUUAAAUAAACAUCAGCCUUGCAA